GUCUAAGGCCAUGCCACCCUGAACAAGCCCAAUGUCUGAUCUCAGAAGCUAAGCAGGGUCGGGCCUGGUUAGUACUUGGAUGGGAGACCACUGAGAAAGACCAGGUGCUGUAGGCA
rnacentral:rRNA from 1 species